UGGUGGAGUGAUUUGUCUGGUUAAUUCCGAUAACGAACGAGACUCUGUCCUGCUAACUAGGUUGUGUUUUCUCGGGUUGGUGUUUCUGGUGUUCCUUCUCGAGGCGCCGGCCCAAUCCACUUGUGAACACAACACUCUUCUUAGAGGGACUGGCGGCUGUUAGCCGCACGAGAUAGAGCAAUAACA
rnacentral:rRNA from 1 species